CUGGCCGUGAGCUCUCUUUGAUCCCCAGGGAGCAGCUACAAGGCUGCAGCAGACAGAAACUCUCAGAUGGCAGGAAGUAAAUGGAGUUGAAGGUUUUUGUUUUGUUUUGAUUUUUUUUUUUUUUAAGACAAAGUCUACUCACAUGACCCAGACUAGCCUGAAGUUUUGGAGUUCUCCAAGUAGCCUAAGACUGACCUCGAACUCUUAACUACCCUCAUGCCUUAGCCUGUCAGGUGCUAGGAUUAUAGGCAUAUGCCACCACACCUAGUGCCAAUGAGCUUUGAAGACAAGAUGGUACUGAGGGAAGCAAAGCCUUCAACCUCAUUUGAAUCAAAACUGCAUCCGGCUGUGUCCUGACUCACCCUCUACUCCAGAAUGCUCUGUGGCUACAGAUCUGGGGGCACAGUUCCAGGUGCCUGGAGGCUCCUCAGGGCCCAUGAUUCUGAGCCAUACCAACUGCAGAGAAGCUGGCACAAGAGCCUAGAACAUGGCUGGAAGUUCACUUCUGUGGGAGGCAGCAGAGUCCAGAUGCGGCUGAGGUGAGGUCACAUGGAGUCAGAUCAGGACUACAAACUAUAGAAGACUGUGUGGAGACACAAUGCAGACAUGGUCACAGAAAAGAAGCCUGUGAUAGAAGAAGCUGAGACUAAGUCCUGCAGCUCUGAGGCAAGGAGCCACAGAGAUUGUCUGUCAAGCCAGAGGCUAGGGAGAGCGCUGGGGGAGCGGUCCUGGGAGCCUGCCAAGAUGGACCUGUCUCCCAACAAUUUAGACUUCUGUCUUUUAGGUCUGUGAAAGAAUGGAUUUCUGAGAGAAUGAAUAAAGAAGUAAUCAGAGCUCUUGCAGGAGGGGAGUUUUCCCCACCAUCAACUCAAGAGACAAGGCAGCAGCCACCUUGCCUCAGACCAGCUCAACUCAACAUGACCCAGUAUGCCAGAGCCACCACCUGCCACCAAGACACUGUCCUCUGCCAUGGAGGGUGGAUGUUCUUUUACAACCUAACUUUUGCAACCCUCAUGACAAGUUAUUGUCUGGAUUUGCUUCUCUUCCACAAUAUCCGGUGUUUCCACUGCAGUGUCUGCUUUGAAGUCACAGGCCAGACUUUCUAGCAAGUACCCUGCCACUUCCAAACAUCUUUUACUCCCUCGUGUCAACACUGUGUCUAAGAGUACUUUCCAGGACUGAACCAUAUCCUCCAAAGCAAGUGAUCAAAGCUAUUUACCUGACUUUGAGAUACACUGACAGUAGUCCAUGCACUUCUGGAGUCCCUGCUUCUGGACAUCUCUGUUAAAGAUAAGUAAACUUCAUCCAGCCAUAAAAAUCACCAAGGGAACACAGACUGAGGACACUGUAGACAAUGUUAGACCCAUUCUCUCAUAGCAAGUACCAAUGCUAUGAAAAAUAAGGAUUUGACACACUGCCAGAGAAGCUAGUAAACAAGGAGGACCCUAAGAGAGACAUACAUGGUCCCCUGGAGAAGGGGAAAGGGACUAGAUCUCCUGAGCAAAUUGGGAGCAUCCGGGGAGGGGAGAGAGAUCUAGGAGAAUGAGAAGGGGAGAAGAGAAGGGGUGAGGAAGACAUGAUGGGACAGGGAGGUUGAGUUGGGGGAAGAACAGAAAAGAGCAAGAUAAGAGAUAAUAUAAUAGAGGGAGACAUUAUAGGUUUAAAGAGAAAUCAGGCAUCAGGGAAAUGUCUGGAGAUCUACAAAGAUGACACCAACUAACAAUCUAAGCAACAGAGGAGAGGCUACCUUAAAUGCCCUCUCCUGAUAAUGAGAUCAAUGGCUAAUUCAUAUGCCAUCGUAUAGCCUUCAUCCAGCAACUGGUGGAAGUAGAAGCAGACACCCACAGCUAAACCUUGAACUGAACUGAAAUCCAGUUGCACAGAAGGAGGACUGAUCAGCAAAGGGGUCCAGACCAGGCUGGUGAAACCCACAAAAACAGGAGAAAAACGCAGUUUUCACUCCUACCUCCUUUGUAGAGACUGUUAAUAACCUCCUUGAAGAGAAGAAGGGGAAAAAUAAGUCAUAAGGCAGUUACAUCAGUCGGCCAAGGGUUACACAGCUGCUGAGUGAGCAGAGGAGUGAGAUCCAAACCAGCUCCAAAUAAUGGAAGACAGCACAAUGGCCACCACUGGGGACAAUGAAAGGACGUCUUUCCCUACAGCUGCAUAUCAAGGAACUGUUUAAGAGGCAGAGGCAGGGUUAUCAAUAACAUACUGUUAAGUCAAAACAGCUGAGCUCCACUGGGUCUGUGCUCUUUGAAUUUCUCUGUGCUGAGUCAUGUUUAAUUUCCAUAACAGUGUGUGCUCAAGUAAAUGCACACACAGUUUUGCAUUAAUAGAGACGUCAAGGACAAAGUCUCUUAAACUUUAUAGUGUAUAAGAACCUCUUGCUAGAAGUGGUAAAAUAAUAAUGAUAAAUAAUAAUAAGAUAAAGUAAUUAAAUGAGUAUCUAAUGUCAAGUAUCCCUGAGCACCUAGAAUCUUGAAAUACCCACAGACCAUGCUACUUUAAGUAGUUUUACCUUAGAAAGCAGGAAUGUUACCAUGACAACAUUUUACAUUUUUAAAAAUCAUUCCUAUUGUUUAGAGAAGCAAGUUAGAAGGUGAGUAAGUACCUUGAGGCUAAGUCAUGCAGGAAAAUAUCCCCUCUUGGAUGUCAGACACACAUGAGGUGAGGCCCCAGGCUAAGCUCACUUGUGGGCUAUGGUGUCUGGGAAGAUGUGAGUGCCAGGCAGAGAGGCUUUGAUGGGCAAGUCAGGGUGUGGCAUCCUCACCACAAGACAGUGGUGGCAACAAGACAGUGGACCUGCAGUAACUAGCUGGCUCCUAUGACAGCAGGGGAGCUAGACACCCUUGCUCCUUGUGUUUGUGAGCAACUUGCUUUCUUCACUAUAUGUGCAUGUCUUUACCCAUUCUGCUUCCCAGACAGCUCUAAUUUUAUCAGAUAUUCCUCUCAGCCUUAAGCACUCUGUUAUAACUCUUCCACUCUCUGGCUGCUCCUCACACUCCCAAUCUGUCAUGGUUCAGACGCUCUGCAACUUCCCUUCCCUCUACCUGGAAUGCUUUCUCUCAUAUACCUAUAUGACUUUCCAGUUCAACUGGAAUUCCUUGCACGAUGCAGCCGCUAGGGUCAAACAUGGCAGCCCUCAACAUUUUCCUUCUCAGCUUCGCUUUCAUCUCAGUUAUAACUCUACCUAGCAUAUUGAAUGUCUAACUUAUUUGGGCAUAGUGUUUGCUCUGUUCAACUGUAAGCACCUUCAGUUCUGGGAUCUACUUGUUUUUACAGCUGUAUUUUCAGUGUCCAGAGGAACUCCUGGAACUUAGCAGACAUGCAAAUCUCUAUUUACUGUACAUGAACUGGGGUCAUUCUACUUAGGUUUCUGUGAGUCCAGUCUCUGCAUUGCAUUGUGUAGUCAUGCAUGGAGUCUCAAUGUGGUACAUGAAGAAAGAACUUUUGCCAGUAAAUGGAACCACCCUAGCUGUUCAUCAAUAGAUGAAUCGAUGCAGAAAAUGUGGUACAUGUACACAAUGGAAUUUUAUUCAGCUAUAAAGAAAAAUGAAAGUGUGAUGUUUGUCAGAAGAUAGAUGAAACUAGCAAAGUAAGCCAGACCAAGAAAGGCAAAUACUUUGUUUUAUCUCAUAUAGGGAAAUUGUGUGUGUGUGUGUGUGUGUGUGUGUGUGUGUGUGUGUGUGUGUGUUUAGGGUGUGUGUUGGGGGCAAGUGAGUGUUUAGGUGUAUGUCUGUGUAAUCAGGGUGUAUGUGUGGAGGAUAUGGGUGUUUAGGUGUGCAUGUGUGUUUAGCUCUGUGGGGAGUGGGGGGUAUUUAGGAGUGUAUGUGUAUGUUCAAGGGUGUAUGUGUGUGUGUGUGUGUUUAGG
ensembl:lncRNA